GCUGAUUAUAAGGAAAAAAGGGAUUUUUAAGGAGGCGCGGUUUCAGGGCUUGGCGCCUGCCUGACACCUUCCAAGUCUCACGCAGGCCUCCUCGCCUCAAUUUGUCAUUCUGGCGUAAAGGAAAAAUCAGGCAUUUCGACGCCUUCAUGC
ensembl:ncRNA C05B5.14 ncRNA